UUAUUAUUGGCAGUCGGUUGGCGAGGGAGGGUUACGGGGCACAGCCCUUCCUAGAAAAAUGAGGUACAAAUAAUAGGGAACUUGCACAUAAAAAUAUUUUUGCAUAAAAUUGUUAAUUUAUGUUUAAAAAUGUUAUAUUCAAAAUAUUACAUCUUAACAAUGAAUGGUGUACGUACAACAACUGAUCAAAGUUCCGCGCCCAAAAAUUUCUGUUUCAAACAAUUUCAAAAGCGCGAGCUGGGGUCUGACGUCACCAACCACUGUUCUCGUUCGCCCGUUCGGUGAGCCAUUGCAUGGAUGCAUUUUGCCAUUGCUAGUUGUGCGUGUCGAAUAAGUGCGUGUCGAAUAACUGUGUUGUUUGCUCGGUGUUUAUAAUAUUAUUGUAAUUAGUGUAUAAUAUACUUUAUCAAAAUUGAAAACAGAUCUGCCUAAUAUAAGUACUAUAUAGUGCUGUAAUGCCAAAGCACAACUGUCAGAAUAUCCAACAAACAUUUUUUUUACUCUAGUAGCAGAACCAAAAACGUCGAUUAAAAUGGCUAAAGGCAGGCUUGCGAGAUAAAAAGGAUAUUUCACAAAGUAGCAAAAGUCUUUAUUUCUGUGAGGAUCAUUCCGAUUUGGAACAAGAUAUGGAUAACUAUAUAUAAUUAAAGAUUAUGGGUGGUCCCAAAAUUAUAAAGUCAGGUGUUGUUUACGAGCUUUACCUUAAAAACGGUAUCUCAAUAAAGGUAUUCAGUGUUAAUUUCAAAGGAGCGUUACAGUCGAGUUGUCACCAUUGCAAAUACAUAAUAAGGAUGCAGGAACUUCACCUAUAAAAGACUUGAAACAUUAUUUGAAGAUACAAAAAGUGAAUCAGGAUGUUCUGUGUUUGAAGAUAAUAGUGAAUAUAGUGGUAGUGAUGACUAUUGGUACAAUGAAAGUGAUUCUGUAUCUUGUGAUGAAGAUGCGAAAGAAGAGGAAGCAAAACAAUUUAAAAGUUUGUCUCUGAAUUGUACAGUGAUGAAGUUUCAAUACAGACCUAGAUUGUAUACGUUUCAUUUUAUACCGCUUUAGUUAAUGGAAAUAAAACACAAACAAUG